AUUGAACGCUGGCGGCACGCUUAACACAUGCAAGUCGAACGGUAGCAUGUUGCAGUCCUUCAAGUGCAUUUAAUUAAGUGUAUUUGAAGGACUGCAAUGAUGACGAGUGGCGGACGGGUGAGUAACGCGUAGGAACCUACCUUGUAGAAUGGGAUAACACGGGGAAACUCGUGCUAAGACCGUAUACGUUGUCUAGUUGAGAGAUUAGAUAAGAAAAGUUGGGACCCGAAAGGGCCAGCUGCUAUGAGAGGGGCCUGCGUCGGAUUAGCUAGUUGGUGGGGUAAAGGCCUACCAAGGCGAAGAUCUGUAGCUGUUCUGAGAGGAAGGUCAGCCACACUGGGACUGAGACACGGCCCAGACUCCUACGGGAGGCAGCAGUGGGGAAUAUUGGACAAUGGGGGGCACCCGUGAUCCAGCGACGCCGCGUGUGUGAAGAAGGCCUGCGGGUUGUAAGCACUUUUAGUCGUGACGAAGAGAUACUUAUAAAUAGUGAGUA
rnacentral:rRNA from 1 species